AAGCUUGGUUGUAUUUGUGUUUGGACAUUAAAGGGAAGGACCUUUUUCUGUUUUGUGAAAAUAAAUCACAGUGAUUUUCCUUUGAAUCUUAGGACUGGAGAUCCUGGUUAGCUUUGACUAGCUUGGCAUGUACCUAAUCAGUUUGGGCCUUAACCUUAGCCUGUAUCUGCUGCCCUCCUAUUCUUCUCUCAUUUUUCUUAUCUCUUCAUCCAUUUUCUUUUCCAACACAGUAACUGGUACCUGAAAAAAGACACAUUCAUCCUUCAGCAUUGAUGAUGGGUGCUCAUGGUCCUUGUGGUGUUUAAACAAAACAUUACUUGAGGUGGAGAGAGAUCAUAAGAAACAGAUUGAGGAUUUCUUUGCCACAGUGUAUUCAUGCAGAGCUGGCAGAGAGAUGUGACAACCUUUUGGCCACAAAUCGCCCUUCUUCAGGUCUUGGAAAGAAGCAGACCUUUGGCCCUGUAUUUCAACGGAUGCUGAUUCUACACAAGUGGCCUCCCUUUGGACAAUUCUUGAUUUAGGAGAUUAACAGAUCCCCAAAUACACGGAAUUCAGUUCUCUUCCUCUUCCACUUCUUCCAGAAGACCACCUUCCUUUGAGUGUUGCUGCAGGAAAGGUAUUGCAGUUUAAAAAGUCAGUGCUGCUUCCCCUGCAUUUCAUCUCCCCAUUAGAUGGGAGACUUGAGCGACUGACCUUCUAAAUUAGCUUGCACAAGAAACAAGGUGAGACAGUAGGAGAAAGGAAACCAGAAUAUUUCAGUCUACCUACAAAUUGUAUUUAUACACAAACUUACUGCUUAGAUAAGAACAGCACUCUUAAUUUAAGUGCAUCCAAAUGAGUGUAACCCAGACUGCAAGAGGACAAUGAAGUGCCUUUGUCUCCAUCAACACACUUGGUAAUCUAAUUAAAAAUGUACAUGGAAGAUAUAACAGAAGUAAAGAGAAACUUUUUCCAACAGCAAGUCUGCUGAAGACAAGGAGUAAGGUUAGUCUCGUCAGAGUAAGUGAAUCAAAAUCUUUUCCUUCUGCUCCUUCCAGGUUCAAGUGCCUAAAAGGAUGCUUUGCUAAACUCUGUAUUCUCGAAUUGAAAUAAAAAUUGUUCACCUUCAUGCAGAAAUUAGUAGGUUCUGCCCUGCGUUAGGUAUGCACCAGAGUAUAUCAUUAUAACUGUAUCUUCUGGGCUUUAAAAUCUGCAGUCUUGGUGUAGUGCUAUUCACUGGAGUGCUGGUUUAGUGAUGACUGUCUGAAGAAGACCCUCCAGCAACAGUUAUUUAUAGCAGCGUGUAGGGUCACCCUCCUUUUGCCUACACUCCUAACACCAUACUUCACAGGCUGCUUAUGGGGGUGAUGCACAAACACUUAACAUGAAGUACAAGAAUUCUGCAGCCCAUGAGAGGCUUUGUAAAGAUUUUUUUUUUAAUACCACCACAAGACUACAGCAGGUACCUAACCCCCUUAGGUUCAUCUGCAAAUCCCUACCUAUAGUGCUACUAUGUAAGCUUUUCACCCACCUCUGAAGUUCUGUAAUAAGAGCCUUAUGGCUGAUGAAGUUGUCCAGGAAACACUUUUAUUUUUCUAAUACAGGCUGUAACUAUUUCUAUAGUAUGGGAAUGAAGUGUGUUGGCAGCGGAUGUAAAGAAUCCCAUUACAGUCCCAGGGGUACGGUUCAGAGGUGGUUAGCUACAUUAGUCUGAAGUCAGGCAGCAGAUAGCAUUGUAGCACCUUUAGAUACUAACUGGUUCAGUGGCACCUGCCUUUUUAGGCAACCAUCUAUUUUGUCAGAUGCUGCAAAUGGGCUCAGGGAAGGGUGGUGUGAGCCUUGCUCAUUGCUCGAAGGUUGCCUCCAGUCAAUCCAGCUGCAAAUAAAUAGCUGGUCAUGCAGGCUGGAGAGUGGAAAGUAGGCAGAUGUAGUUUUAGCCACAUCACUGCCCUGUACUGUUGGCUACAGAAAGUCAUAUGUUGUAAGCAUGCCAGCCUGAUGGGCUGCUAGCCUCCAUCAGACUUGCAUUCUCUUACAAUAAGAUUUCUGUAGGAAAGUGUUGGUUUUCCCUUCUUUACAUAUUAUAUAGGAAUUUUCUGAGAGGACCUACAAUGGUGUCCCCCUACCCCCACAUAAACUUUUUUUUGUUUUUAGCCUUAGAUUUUAAUAAGUCAAUUGUUGGAAUCUAAACCAUCAGUGCUCCUGGUCAGGAAAGGCUUUGCACAUCCUGAAACAGAGCAGGAUUAGCGUGUGCGUGUGUGCACAUGCACACAUUUUAAAGCUAAGCUUCUCAACAACACCUGCUGCAGUAUACUGCAUUGCACUAUUCUCUUGCAACAAGUAUAUCCUCCUUCCAAUAUUUUAGCAUCUCUGAUAAUACACCUACUCUACUGCCUGCCAGCAUAAUUACAGCAAUCAGCAACUUAGUUCCAAGAGAACUAAAAUCACAAGCUAAACUUUCCUUAUUUUUAGGGAGUUCUUUAGCUGCCUCCUUUUAAGGCUGUGCUUUGGUCUCUGCUUGCUGUUGGAGUGAACUCAGAUGGUGAUUUAGGGCUGUGGUGCUUAGUGAGGGGUCUGGUUCAGGCCUUGUAGUCAUAAGUAUGGCAGCUGCAUGCUGCCCAGGGCAGCCCCUGCUCCUUCUGCGCUGACUGUGGCAAUAUGAUCAGCCACCACUAGGGCAAUGUCUGCUUUUGCACCCCACCAGGAAGGUGGUGCCAGGGGCUGUUACCCUGGUUGCCCUUUCAGUUAUGCUUCUGGUUGCAGUUCCUUUUUCACUGACCCCAGGGGGGUUUGGAUAGGGUCUCAAGUCAGUCCAACUCUUGCUGAAGUUAGGACUCGCAUGGAUCUCACAAGGAGAAGCACUGGGCUGUAACAGAGGCCUCUGCUUGUGAUGAUGCUUUUCAUCUUCAUAAGAGACUGGUGACUUGGAGUUUUAGCCAGAUGCUUGGCUACUGUGCCUGCUCGUAGAAAGCACCCGCGACUUCUCUUUGGAACAGCUUCAAGGACUUUGGCUGGUUUGGCAGCUUCCAGACCCCUUCAGCUGAGUCAUUUCUCCUAGCAUCUGUCUCAGGCUGGCAGAAUGCUUCUGAGGAACCUCUCAAUUGCCAGCUAAAACUCUGCUGACCAAUACAACGUGACUUGGAGGAAGAGCAGGGACUUAGCCCUUUUUGCAAAUAUAAGCAUACAUAUUUAUACAGACUGGGAGAAUGGCAACAUUAACU